GGUCAAGCUACAAAGGGCGUAUGGCGGAUGCCUUGGCGCUGGGAGCCGACGAAGGACGCGGCAAGCUGCGAAAAGCCUCGGGGAGCUGCAAGCGAGCGUUGAUCCGGGGAUGUCCGAAUGGGGCAACCCACCGGGCGUAAUGGCCCGGUACCCCUGCCUGAAUCCAUAGGGCAGGAGGAGGGAACGCGGGGAACUGAAACAUCUAAGUACCCGCAGGAAGAGAAAGAAAGAUCGAUUCCCUAAGUAGCGGCGAGCGAACGGGGAAGAGCCCAAACCACAUAUCUUCGGAUGUGUGGGGUUGUAGGGUCGCCGAGAAAGCCACUUUAGAGCCUAGCUGAAGCGGUCUGGAAAGGCCCACCGCAGAAGGUGACAGUCCUGUAAGCGAAAGGCAAAGAAGGGCGAGGCGAUACCUGAGUACCACGGGGCACGUGGAACCCUGUGGGAACCCGGGAGGACCACCUCCCAAGGCUAAAUACUACCCAGCGACCGAUAGCGAACUAGUACCGUGAGGGAAAGGUGAAAAGCACCCCGGGAGGGGAGUGAAAUAGAACCUGAAACCAUAUGCCUACAAGCAGUCGGAGCGCGAUGGCCGCAAGGCCUGCGUGACGGCGUACUUUUUGUAGAACGGUCCUGCGAGUUACCGUAGCAAGCGAGGUUAAGGCGGAAAGGCCGGAGCCGUAGCGAAAGCGAGUCUGAAGAGGGCGCAAGUUUGCUAUGGUAGACCCGAAACCGGGUGAUCUAACCAUGGCCAGAGUGAAGUCUCGUUAACCCGAGAUGGAGGCUCGAACCACAUUGUCGUUGAAAAGGCAUGGGAUGAGCUGUGGUUAGGGGUGAAAAGCCAAUCGAACUCGGAGAUAGCUGGUUCUCCCCGAAAUAGCUUUAGGGCUAGCCUCAUGGGUUAACUUACGGAGGUAGAGCACUGAUUGGGCUAGGGGCCUUACCAGGUUACUGAACCCGUUCAAACUCCGAAUGCCGUAAGGUUUACCAUGGGAGUCAGACGAUGGGGGAUAAGCUUCAUCGUCGAGAGGGAAACAGCCCAGACCUUCAGCUAAGGUCCCCAAGUUCGUGCUAAGUGGGAAACGAGGUGAAGAUGCAUAGACAGCCAGGAUGUUGGCUUAGAAGCAGCCAUCAUUUAAAGAGUGCGUAAUAGCUCACUGGUCAAGUGUCUUUGCGCGGAAAAUGUAACGGGGCUCAAGCACGACACCGAAGCUAAGGAUUCUUGCGGGUUUCACCAGGGGUUUCGUGAAAGGUUUGGCAACGCGAUGCGGUGCCCAAAUGCUUCAGCUGCAAGCACGAAUGCAGCAGCAAGAAAAACGGAGUCUCUGGUGAAGCCCGCAAGAGUGGUAGGGGAGCGUUGUGCUAACCUGCGAAGCCGUACCGGAAGGAGCGGUGGAGGAGGCACAAGUGAGAAUGCAGGAAUGAGUAGCGAAAAGGCAGGUGAGAAUCCUGCCCGCCGAAAGCCUAAGGUUUCCUGAGGAAGGCUCGUCCGCUCAGGGUUAGGCGGGACCUAAGCCGAGGCCGGAAGGCGUAGGCGAUGGACAACGGGUCAAGAUUCCCGUUCCACCUUGUCUCGUUUGAGCGAUGGGGUGACACAGAAGGGUAGGCCAUCCGGCAGUUGGAGUGCCGGUCCAAACGAGUAGGGUGUGCGACAGGCAAAUCCGUCGCACGUGAAGCCCGAGACGUGACGGGGAGCGAAAUUUAAGUAGCGAACUGGUUGAACCCAAGCUGUCGAGAAAAGCCUCUAGCGAGAGGCAAGGUGCCCGUACCGCAAACCGACACAGGUAGGCGAGGAGAGAAUCCUAAGGCGCGCGAGAGAACCCCUGUUAAGGAACUCGGCAAACUGACCGCGUAACUUCGGGAGAAGCGGUGCCCUGGUACCGUGAGGUGUUUAGCAUACUGAGCGGGAGAGGGUUGCAGAGAAAUGGCCCAAGCGACUGUUUAGCAAAAACACAGGUCCCUGCUAAGCCGAAAGGCGACGUAUAGGGGCUGACGCCUGCCCAGUGCCGGAAGGUUAAGGGGAGGGCUUAGCGCAAGCGAAGGUCUGAACCGAAGCCCCGGUAAACGGCGGCCGUAACUAUAACGGUCCUAAGGUAGCGAAAUUCCUUGUCGGGUAAGUUCCGACCUGCACGAAAGGCGUAACGACUUGGGCGCUGUCUCAAUGGGGGGCUCGGCGAAAUUGAAGUACCCGUGAAGAUGCGGGUUACCCGCGGUUAGACGGAAAGACCCCGUGGAGCUUUACUCUAACUUGGUAUUGAGUUUUGGUAUCAAAUGUACAGGAUAGGUGGGAGCCAGAGAAGCCGGGACGCCAGUCUCGGUGGAGGCGCCGGUGGGAUACCACUCUUUUGGUGCUGGAAUUCUAACGGCACGCCGUGAGCCGGCUGCCGGACAUUGCCAGGUGGGGAGUUUGACUGGGGCGGUCGCCUCCUAAAGGGUAACGGAGGCGCCCAAAGGUUCCCUCAGCGCGGUUGGGAAUCGCGCGUUGAGUGCAAAGGCAUAAGGGAGCUUAACUGCAAGACCGACAAGUCGAGCAGGGACGAAAGUCGGGCUUAGUGAUCCGGUGGUACCGAGUGGAAGGGCCAUCGCUCAACGGAUAAAAGCUACCCCGGGGAUAACAGGCUUAUCUCCCCCAAGAGUCCAUAUCGACGGGGAGGUUUGGCACCUCGAUGUCGGCUCAUCACAUCCUGGGGCUGGAGUAGGUCCCAAGGGUUGGGCUGUUCGCCCAUUAAAGUGGUACGCGAGCUGGGUUCAGAACGUCGUGAGACAGUUCGGUCCCUAUCUACCGCGGGCGCAGGAGAUUUGCGAGGGUCUGUCCUUAGUACGAGAGGACCGGGAUGGACGCACCUCUGGUAUCCCAGUUGUCCCGCCAGGGGCACGGCUGGAUAGCUAUGUGCGGUUUGGAUAAACGCUGAAGGCAUCUAAGCGUGAAGCCAUCCUCAAGAAGAGAUCUCCCACAGAGUUAAUCUGGUAAGACCCCUUGUAGAAUACGAGGUUGAUAGGCCGGGUGUGUAAGCGCAGCAAUGCGUUGAGCUAACCGGUACUAAUUGGUCGAGGGUUUGACCAAAA
rnacentral:rRNA from 1 species